AGUGAACGCUGGCGGCGUGCUUAACACAUGCAAGUCGAACGAGAACGGGAUAUAGCUUGCUAUAUUUGUCAGCUAAGUGGCGCACGGGUGAGUAAUGUAUAGGUAAUAUGCCUCUUACUAAGGGAUAACAAUUGGAAACGAUCGCUAAUACCUUAUAUGCCUUUAAGACUAAAGUCUGCAAGGGAAAGAUUUAUUGGUAAGAGAUUAGCCUGUAUUGUAUCAGCUAGUUGGUGGGGUAAUGGCUCACCAAGGCUAUGACGCAUAACUGGUUUGAGAGGAUGAUCAGUCACACUGGAACUGAGACACGGUCCAGACUCCUACGGGAGGCAGCAGUGGGGAAUAUUGCACAAUGGACGAAAGUCUGAUGCAGCAACGCCGCGUGGAGGAUGACACAUUUCGGUGCGUAAACUCCUUUUAUAUGGGAAGAUAAUGACGGUACUAUAUGAAUAAGCACCGGCUAACUCCGUGCCAGCCGCCGCAGUAA
rnacentral:rRNA from 1 species